CGAAAGCCUGACGGAGCAAGACCGCGUGGGGGAGGAAUGCCUUAGGGUUGUAAACCCCUUUUAUCUGGGAAGAACAAAAUGACGGUACCAGAUGAAUAAGCCUCGGCUAACUCCGUGCCAGCAGCCGCGGUAAUACGAGGGAUGCAAGCGUUAUCCGGAAUUAUCGGGCGUAAAGCGUUCGUAGGUGGCAAAUUAAGUCUGUUGUUAAAACGUGGAGCUUAACUCCAUAUCGGCAAUGGAAACUGGUUAGCUAGAGUAUGGUAGGGGUAACAGGAAUUCCCAGUGUAGCGGUGAAAUGCGUAGAUAUUGGGAAGAACACCAGCGGCGAAAGCGUGUUACUGGGCCAUUACUGACACUGAGGGACGAAAGCUAGGGGAGCG
rnacentral:rRNA from 1 species